GUUCCCAUGCCGAACACGGAAGUUAAGCUCUUUAGCGCCGAUGGUAGUUGGGGGUUUCCCCCUGUGAGAGUAGGACGUUGCUAGGC
rnacentral:rRNA from 2 species